rnacentral:rRNA from 1 species
AUGAACGCUGGCGGCGUGCUUAACACAUGCCAGUCGAACGGAAAGGCCCAAGCUUGCUUGGGUACUCGAGUGGCGAACGGGUGAGUAACACGUGGGUGAUCUGCCCUGCACUUCGGGAUAAGCCUGGGAAACUGGGUCUAAUACCGGAUAGGACCACAUUUUGGAUGGUGUGGUGGAAAGUUUUUCGGUGUGGGAUGAGCUCGCGGCCUAUCAGCUUGUUGGUGGGGUAAUGGCCUACCAAGGCGUCGACGGGUAGCCGGCCUGAGAGGGUGUACGGCCACAUUGGGAUUGAGAUACGGCCCAGACUCCUACGGGAGGCAGCAGUGGGGAAUAUUGCACAAUGGGCGCAAGCCUGAUGCAGCGACGCCGCGUGGGGGAUGACGGCCUUCGGGUUGUAAACUCCUUUCGCUAGGGACGAAGCGCAAGUGACGGUACCUGGAGAAGAAGCACCGGCUAACUACGUG